rnacentral:rRNA from 1 species
UACGUAGGGGGCUAGCGUUGUCCGGAAUCAUUGGGCGUAAAGAGCGUGUAGGCGGCCCGGUAAGUCCGCUGUAAAAGUCAAAGGCUCAACCUUUGAAUGUCAGUGGAUACUGCCGGCUAGAGUCCGGAAGAGGCGAGUGGAACUCCUGGUGUAGCGGUGGAAUGCGCAGAUAUCAGGAAGAACACCAACGGCGAAGGCGGGACUCUGGGCCGAUACUGACGCUGAGGAGCGAAAGCGUGGGAGCAAACAGG